AAAUCUCUGCAGGCAAAUGUGAUGUCUUGACCAGCAAUCUCACAGUUACCAGCAGAGGUUCUG
rnacentral:pre_miRNA from 1 species